UCGAUAGUCUUUCGCCCCAUGCGCAGAUUUGACGAUCGAUUUGCACGUCAGAACCGCUGCGAGCCUCCACCAGAGUUUCCUCUGGCUUCACCCUAUCCACGCAUAGUUCACCAUCUUUCGGGUCCGAACAGUUAUGCUCUUACUCAAAUCCAUCCGAAGACAUCAGGAUCGGUCGAUGAUGCACCCGUAAGGGCUCUCACCUCCGUUCACUUUCAUUACGCGUGAGGGUUUAACACCCAAACACUCGCAUAAAUGUUCGACUCCUUGGUCCGUGUUUCAAGACGGGUGGCUGAUGACCAUUAUGCCAGCAUCCUAGCCGAAGCGCGGUCCUCAGUCCCGGUCAGGGUAUUACACAAAAGGCUAUAACAUUCCCGGAGGAAUCACAUUCCUAAUGUCUUUAUCCCCCAACUAGAACUGAUGCUGGCCUCAACGAAGGGAAGUGCACCGGUGAGAACACCGGAUGAUUCCCAACGCAAAGGUCUGGUCAUAAACCCUUCCCUUUCAACAAUUUCACGUACUAUUUAACCCUCUUUUCAAAGUGCUUUUCAUCUUUCGAUCACUCUACUUGUGCGCUAUCGGUCUCUGGCCGGUAUUUAGCUUUAGAAGAAAUUUACCUCCCAUUUAGAGCAGCAUUCCCAAACUACUCGACUCGUCGAAGGAGACUUACAAAGGAUCGGCAUCCAACCGUACGGGGCUCUCACCCUCUAAGGCGUCCUGUUCCAAGGAACUCGGAAGGUACCUAACCAAAGUCAUCCUCUACAAAUUACAAUUCGGACCAGAAGGCCAGAUUUCAAAUUUGAGCUGUUGCCGCUUCACUCGCCGUUACUAGGGCAU
rnacentral:rRNA from 1 species